UGGGGAAUAUUGCGCAAUGGGCGAAAGCCUGACGCAGCAACGCCGCGUGAGUGAAGAAGGCCUUCGGGUUGUAAAGCUCUUUUGUCAGGGAAGAAACGGUAGUAGCGAAUAACUACUACUAAUGACGGUACCUGAAGAAUAAGCACCGGCUAACUACGUGCCAGCAGCCGCGGUAAUACGUAGGGUGCAAGCGUUAAUCGGAAUUACUGGGCGUAAAGCGUGCGCAGGCGGUUGUGUAAGUCAGAUGUGAAAUCCCCGGGCUCAACCUGGGAAUUGCAUUUGAGACUGCACGGCUAGAGUGUGUCAGAGGGGGGUAGAAUUCCACGUGUAGCAGUGAAAUGCGUAGAUAUUUGGAGGAACACCGAUGGCGAAGGCAGCCCCCUGGGCUAACACUGACGCUCAUGCACGAAAGCGUGGGGAGCAAACAGGAUUAGAUACCCAAGUAGUCCCUGAGCGGGCUGGCAAGGCGCAU
rnacentral:rRNA from 1 species